rnacentral:tRNA from 2 species
GCGAUUGUGGCGAAGUGGUUAACGCACCGGAUUGUGGCUCCGGCACUCGUGGGUUCGAUUCCCAUCAGUCGCC